rnacentral:rRNA from 1 species
CCGCGCCGCCAGCGGCGCUCGCAAAGUUCGGAUCCGCAAGGACCGGGCCAGCGGGACGUCCGCGUGGCAGGGUGCACUUUCUCCGCGGUCGAGUGCUACGACCGGUUUCGAGGCGGUCAGAAGCCCGGCGGAAAGGUAGCGCCGCCCCUCGGGGUGUCGUGUUAUAGGCCGCCGCGGUGGACUCGCCGCGAGACCGAGGACGCUUGCCGCGCCGAGCGGUCCCGGGCCGUCUUGGGAGGUUCGACCUCGGCUGCACUGCUCCGCAGAGCACCGUAACCGCCGCCCUAGCACGGGUCCGGAGACUGCCGGCGCCUCGGGUCAGUAGCG